CUCCUGAAUUGAUCAUGACCCAUUGUUUCCUCAGCAGGCGGAAGGCUCCACCUCCCAUUGUCCACCACUCAUCCCAGCUCCUCAGAGGCUCCUGCAAGACGGGAGUGGGAGGAACCUUGAGGUCAGAGCCUUGGACGGCUGCCCUGUGUGCUGGUGGCUUCUAUUGUGAGCACCCGAGGAUCUUGGAGCUUCCUCAUGGCUGGGCCUCAGAACCCACUGGGGACCAGCCUGUUUAUGGGAGCGGGGGGCCUCUGACAGCUGUGCAGAGCUCAGGUGGAGGCCUUGCGUGUGCUGACCGCUCCUCAGCUGUGUGGACGAGGCAGGCAAGCGUGAUCACAUUCGGGGUCCUCUGGCACUUCUCUGGAGGGUGCACCAUCAUUUCCCCUGUUCUCGGAAGAAGCAGUCGAGGUUCCAUGAGGCUGGUGGCUACCUCCUGCCUCAUGGGCUGCAGUCUGCGACCUCCCAGUGGCUCGGAAGGCGGAGUGCCAUUCCAGGAUUUUCCAUGGGUUCAUUUCCAGCAAUCAGAGGCCUCACUUCCCUGCCUCCCUGCCUCCCACUGCUGCCUCUGAGACACUCGUGGCACAGAGGAAGUGACGGGGAGCCUCUACUGUCCUCACUUUUCACAUGGGCCUAUGGGAGCAGCCAGUCAGAAUCCUCUGGGAAUGGAUUGGGAAUAGUGACCGUGCCUCGCUCCUGAGUCCCACACCAUCCACACCAUCAUCUCCUUCAACUGCAGCUGCUCCCUAAUGGAAUCCUGCUGCUUAAGACGCCCUCUACAGCUAACAUCGCCAGGUGUUAAGGACUACCAGCACACAACAGAGACUUUCUUCCAAAUACAAUCAGACAAAUUGGCAGAGCAAAGAUUCAGAGAGUCAGCCACCACCCUGGGUAUGCUGUACCCAGAAGAUACAUGGGAAGCUUUUUCAUUCUUUAAGACCUCAAGAGCAGUGCUCCAAAGUCAAAUCGUGCUGGGCAGACACCAGUGAGAUCUCAGGGCUUUUUUACACAAGGUAAAUGUCCCAAGAGUAUCCAGAAAGGGAAAGAAGCAGAAAUAAUAGCAACAGUUACCAUUUAUUGGGUGCUUACUCUGCUCAGCUCUUGAUAUUCGUCACCUUGUUUAAUCAGCUCCACAACAAUUUGACAGAUGAGGAAACUUAACUUUGGCUGCUCAAGCCCAGGGGAUGUUACUCCCAUAGCACACCCCGCUUCUGGAGUUCCAUUUACAAGGAAUUCAAUAUGGC
rnacentral:lncRNA from 1 species